UACGUAGGGUGCAAGCGUUAAUCGGAAUUACUGGGCGUAAAGCGUGACGCAGGCGGUGAUGUAAGACAGGUGUGAAAUCCCCGGGCUUAACCUGGGAACUGCAUUGUGACUGCAUCGCUGGAGUGCGGCAGAGGGGGAUGGAAUUCCGCGUGUAGCAGUGAAAUGCGUAGAUAUGCGGAGGAACACCGAUGGCGAAGGCAAUCCCCUGGGC
rnacentral:rRNA from 1 species